rnacentral:rRNA from 1 species
UACGUAGGGUGCGAGCGUUGCCCGGAUUUAUUGGGCGUAAAGGGCGCGUAGGCGGCCACGCACGUCCGUUGUGAAAUCCCCGGGCUCAACCUGGGAACUGCAUUGGUGACUGGCAGGCUAGAGUAUGGCAGAGGGGGGUAGAAUUCCACGUGUAGCAGUGAAAUGCGUAGAGAUGUGGAGGAAUACCGAUGGCGAAGGCAGCCCCCUGGGCCAAUACUGACGCUCAUGCACGAAAGCGUGGGGAGCAAACAGG